AUGAUUAAAGAAAAUAAAUUAUGGAGUUCACUAGCCUCGGCAAAUUCAGCUCGGCUCAGACGUAUAUGUUUAAAAGAUAACAUAAAUUUAACAUUAGCUUAUUUAAAUGAAGUUCAUUUACAGAAGCAGAUAACAAUGCUUGCGGCUCACUCUGUUUUGUUUUGUCAAGUGAAAAAGAACACUUUGCUUAUGCAUCACACUUGUUUUGUGUCCGGUGGCAUUCUGUAUAUGAUCAGCGCCUUGUAUUUAUUAAAGAAAAUAGUGCAGUUCAUUGUAACAAACGUUUAUGGCUCACUUUGUAAAAAAAACAUUGAUGCAGUACACUUGCGUCGUCUCAGCAGUCAAAAUGUAUUCAUUUAA
rnacentral:rRNA from 1 species